rnacentral:rRNA from 1 species
UACGAAGGGGGCUAGCGUUGUUCGGAAUUAUUGGGCGUAAAGAGCUCGUAGGCGGUCUGUCGCGUCGGCUGUGAAAUCCCGAGGCUCAACCUCGGGUCUGCAGUCGAUACGGGCAAACUAGAGUAUUGCAGGGGAGACUGGAAUUCCUGGUGUAGCGGUGAAAUGCGCAGAUAUCAGGAGGAACACCGGUGGCGAAGGCGGGUCUCUGGGCAAUAACUGACGCUGAGGAGCGAAAGCGUGGGGAGCGAACAGG